GGCCGGGGGCGACGCCUGCGGGGCCGGUUCCUGCGGCCGGGGCGCCGGCGGGAGCAGGGCCGGUUCGAUGCCGGCCGCCGCCA
rnacentral:tRNA from 1 species